rnacentral:rRNA from 1 species
CCUACGGGGGGCAGCAGUGAGGAAUAUUGGUCAAUGGACGAGAGUCUGAACCAGCCAAGUAGCGUGAAGGAUGACUGCCCUAUGGGUUGUAAACUUCUUUUAUAUGGGAAUAAAACGUUCCACGUGUGGGAUUUUGUAUGUACCAUAUGAAUAAGGAUCGGCUAACUCCGUGCCAGCAGCAGCGGUAAUACGGAGGAUCCGAGCGUUAUCCGGAUUUAUUGGGUUUAAAGGGAGCGUAGGUGGAUUGUUAAGUCAGUUGUGAAAGUUUGCGGCUCAACCGUAAAAUUGCAGUUGAAACUGGCAGUCUUGAGUACAGUAGAGGUGGGCGGAAUUCGUGGUGUAGCGGUGAAAUGCUUAGAUAUCACGAAGAACUCCGAUUGCGAAGGCAGUUCACUGGACUGCAACUGACACUGAGGCUCGAAAGUGUGGGUAUCAAACAGGAUUAGAUACCCCAGUAGUC